rnacentral:rRNA from 1 species
AUUGAACGCUGGCGGCAUGCCUUACACAUGCAAGUCGAACGGCAGCACGGGAGCAAUCCUGGUGGCGAGUGGCGAACGGGUGAGUAAUAUAUCGGAACGUGCCCAGUCGUGGGGAUAACGUAGCGAAAGCUACGCUAAUACCGCAUACGAUCUAUGGAUGAAAGCGGGGGAUCGCAAGACCUCGCGCGAUUGGAGCGGCCGAUAUCAGAUUAGGUAGUUGGUGGGGUAAAGGCUCACCAAGCCGACGAUCUGUAGCUGGUCUGAGAGGACGACCAGCACACUGGGACUGAGACACGGCCCAGACUCCUACGGGAGGCAGCAGUGGGGAAUUUUUGGACAAUGGGCGCAAGCCUGAUCCAGCAAUGCCGCGUGCAGGAUG